GAACGCAGCGAAAUGCGAUACGUAGUGUGAAUUGCAGAAUUCCGCGAAUCAUCGAGUCUUUGAACGCAAGUUGCGCCCGAGGCUUGUCCGAGGGCAUUUCCGCUAGAGCGUCACCGCGCCCCCCACCGAUCCGCUCCCGCCGCGAGGCGCCAGUCGGGUCGAGUGGAAGUGGCCGUCCCGGCGAAGUGGCCUUCUUUCACGAGGAGGCCGUCCUUGGAAGGGUCGGCUGAAAUGGAUGGAAUCGGGCCGCCGUGGUGACACAGUCCGCGAUCGGGUGAUUUUGUCGCGAGCCUCCUGCGCUGCGGGAGGCUCUUGGUGAAUUUUUCUAAGUGCUUGGCUGCGUCCCCCAGUUGGCUCGGGUUACCUCAUGCAGGUCGAGCGCGCCCCCGCGGCGCGCGUCACGCAUCAGACCUCUAAUCGGAAAAGAC
rnacentral:rRNA from 1 species